UACGUAGGGUGCAAGCGUUGUCCGGAAUUAUUGGGCGUAAAGAGCUCGUAGGCGGUGUGUCGCGUCGGCCGUGAAAACCUGGGGCUUAACUCUGGGCGUGCGGUCGAUACGGGCAUCACUGGAGUUCGGCAGGGGAGACUGGAAUUCCUGGUGUAGCGGUGAAAUGCGCAGAUAUCAGGAGGAACACCGGUGGCGAAGGCGGGUCUCUGGGCCGGUACUGGACGCUGAGACGCGAAAGCGUGGGGAGCGAACAGG
rnacentral:rRNA from 1 species